UAAUAUAUUCUUUUAUCAUUUUUCUUCAUCUUCUUUUCUCUCGCAGCCUCGUCUCUCUUCUUUAACUUAGGGUUGAUGUUAAUCGUGGGUGGGAGUUGAGAUACAGAAUUACAAAUCUUUUGGUUCAAUUCUUCUUCUUCUUCAUCACCCGGUUAAUAUCAGGGAUUAAAUGGGUUGCUGGUGGUUGUUAUUACAGUGAUAGAGAUCGAAAGAGUUUGUGAAUGUAUGGUUUACAGGGAAAGAACAUGAUGCAGUGAAUGGAAUAAUGAAAUUGAAGUGCAGUGAGUUGUAGAUAAUGGUGUUGAUGUUGUGCUGUUAAUGAGAGAAAACAAUGAGAAGAUUGAUGUUUCUUCCAUUGGUUUGUAGGGAAUUUAUUGAAUGAAUGCUUCUUUCAUGAUUUUUGUAGAUAAUGGUGUUGAUGUUGUUCUUUACAGGAAUUAGUUGAAUGAAUGCUUGUUAACUGAUACUCUGAUCUAUGGAAUUGUAUAAUUUUUUCGUUCA